GGGUUGUGAGGUUAAGCGACUAAGCGUACACGGUGGAUGCCCUGGCAGUCAGAGGCGAUGAAGGGCGUGCUAAUCUGCGAUAAGCGCCGGUAAGGUGAUAUGAACCGUUAUAACCGGCGAUACCCGAAUGGGGAAACCCAGUGUGACUCGUCACACUAUCAUUAACUGAAUCCAUAGGUUAAUGAGGCGAACCGGGGGAACUGAAACAUCUAAGUACCCCGAGGAAAAGAAAUCAACCGAGAUUCCCCCAGUAGCGGCGAGCGAACGGGGAGGAGCCCAGAGCCUGAAUCAGCAUGUGUGUUAGUGGAAGCGUCUGGAAAGGCGCGCGAUACAGGGUGACAGCCCCGUACACAAAAGCGCAUGUGCUGUGAGCUCGAUGAGUAGGGCGGGACACGUGAUAUCCUGUCUGAAUAUGGGGGGACCAUCCUCCAAGGCUAAAUACUCCUGACUGACCGAUAGUGAACCAGUACCGUGAGGGAAAGGCGAAAAGAACCCCGGCGAGGGGAGUGAAAAAGAACCUGAAACCGUGUACGUACAAGCAGUGGGAGCACCCUUUGGGGUGUGACUGCGUACCUUUUGUAUAAUGGGUCAGCGACUUAUAUUCUGUAGCAAGGUUAACCGAAUAGGGGAGCCG
rnacentral:rRNA from 1 species